rnacentral:rRNA from 1 species
GAUGAACGCUGGCGGCGUGCUUAACACAUGCAAGUCGAACGGAAAGCCUCCUGUUUGUUGUGGGACUCGAGUGGCGAACGGGUGAGUAACACGCGGGUGAUCUGCCCUUGACUUAGGGAUAAGACUGGGGAACUGGGUCUAAUACCGGGUAGGAUAAUGCCGCGGAUGCCAUUGUGGACAGAUUUUCCGGCUGGGGAUGAGUUCGCGGCGUAUCAGCUUGUUGGUGGGGUAAUGGCAUACCAAGGCGUAGACGGGUAGCCGGCCUGGGAGGGUAGACGGCCACAUUGGGACUGGGAUACGACCCAGACUCCAACGGGAGGCAGCGGUGGAGAGUAUUACACAGUAGGCGCGAGCCUGAUGCAACGACGCCGCGUGGGGGAUGACGGCCUGCGGGUUGUAAACUCAUGUCGCUAGAGACGAGGAGAAAGUGACGGUACCUGAAGAAGAAGCACCGGCUAACUACGUG